GACGAACGCUGGCGGCGUGCUUAACACAUGCAAGUCGAACGAAGAGCGACGGAAGCUUGCUUCUAUCAAUCUUAGUGGCGAACGGGUGAGUAACGCGUAAUCAACCUGCCCUUCAGAGGGGGACAACAGUUGGAAACGACUGCUAAUACCGCAUACGAUCUAACCUCGGCAUCGAGGAUAGAUGAAAGGUGGCCUCUACAUGUAAGCUAUCGCUGAAGGAGGGGAUUGCGUCUGAUUAGCUAGUUGGAGGGGUAACGGCCCACCAAGGCGAUGAUCAGUAGCCGGUCUGAGAGGAUGAACGGCCACAUUGGGACUGAGACACGGCCCAGACUCCUAAGGGAGGCAGCAGUGGGGAAUCUUCCGAAAUGGACGAAAGUCUGACGGAGCAACGCCGCGUGAGUGAUGACGGCCUUCGGGUUGGAAAGCUCUGUUAAUCGGGACGAAAGGCCUUCUUGCGAAUAGUGAGAAGGAUUGACGGUACCGGAAUAGAAAGCCACGGCUAACUACGUG
rnacentral:rRNA from 1 species